AGCACACACACCCAGGCACUCACUCCACACACCCAGCACACACACCCAGGCACUCACUCCACACACACCCAGGCACUCACUCCACACACACCCAGGCACUCACUCCACACACACACACCCAGGCACUCACUCCACACACACACCCAGGCACUCACUCCACACACACACACCCAGGCACUCACUCCACACACACACCCAGGCACUCACUCCACACACACACCCAGGCACUCACUCCACACACACACACCCAGGCACUCACUCCACACACACACACAGGCACUCCACACACACCACCCAGGCACUCCACACCACACACACACACCCAGGCACUCACUCCACACACCCAGCACACACACCCAGGCACUCACUCCACACACCCAGCACACACACCCAGGCACUCACUCCACACACACCCAGGCACUCACUCCACACACACCCAGGCGCUCACUCCACACACACCCAGGCACUCACUCCACACACACCCAGGCACUCACUCCACACACCCACCCAGGCACUCCACACACACCCAGGCACUCCACACACACCCAGGCACUCACUCCACACACCCAGCACACACACCCAGGCACUCACUCCACACACACCCAGGCACUCACACUGGGGGUCUCGCUGCCCCCCACAGCAGGGUCUGGGUGCAUGCAGGGCCCCCACCUGGCAGGUGAGGGCAGAGUGGGCACAUGGUCCCAGCCCACGGGGUGGCCUCACAUCCCUCUUUCUGUUCAUCCUCCUCUCCUUGAUGCCGGCCUCUCAAGCUGUCUGCACAGUUGGGCUCCUCCCUGAUGGGGACAUGGUGGCUCUCCAGGGCUUCAGGGCUGGACACUGCCCUUUCUACAGCAUGGGUUGUUUAAAUGACUCCAGGGCACCGUCAGUGUCCUGCACGGC
rnacentral:lncRNA from 1 species